UUAACAGCUAACAUUAAGAAAACAUUAGCUAUUUGUAGUAAAGGGAGAAAAGGUGAAUGGGGCAGAAAUAAAAAGUUACAGAUGUCCACCUCCAAAGCCUGUAGAGGGCUUACCGCACCAAACAGAUUACCAACAAGGUAAGCCAAAGGAAAAGCUUUUAGUACCGUUAAGGUCAAGAAAGGACUGAAAGCUGCUGACAGGAUGAAGUCUCACUGUUUGCUAAAUUCCUAAAACUGGUUUUGCACAGUGUUAUCACUUCCAGUGUUUUAUGCACAGAAAUGUCUUAAAUAUGUGGAAUAACAGAAAGUUCAGUAUAAGAUUAUAUGCACACCAUACAACAACAAAAACAUUUGAAACCAUAUUUAAUAUCCACUAAAUGGAAAGAAAGUGAAGCCCCUUUCCUCAUGGUGAUGAAUCCAAGGUUACGGAAGGCUAUGAGGAUCAUGCAUGUUAGCCAAGUGAGUAGAAGAGAAAGCAGCUGUCACCAAGGCUCAGGGCAUCUGGACACCAUUCCCCAGUGCUGCAAAAUCCAGCAAAUCUUUUACAGGAUUUGUUUUUCCAUUGCAGAUGGUCCUCUGCACAUGUUUUCCUCCCAUUGGCUCGGGGUCCCGGGCUGGCAGUGCUGCAGCCAUGUAGGUACCACAUAUAAAGGCUUGCUCUGUCUGCAGCAAGCCUCUGCAUACUGAAGGGAGGAAACUGGAGUUAAAAACAACAAUAUGACCUGCGGCUGGACAUCUCCAUGAGCGCUUUAAGCAUUUUCGUAACAAUCAGGUGCAAAGAAGUUCUAUCAUCUGGACAGAUCACACCAGCAGACAUUGUCAUGAAACAGCAGGAGAUAGACUGAAGCGCUAUCUUCAGAUCAGGAAGGGGGCAGUACAUUCGUUUGCAGUUCUGCUUCACAGCAAGAAGGUUUAAACCUGAAGGUGGGUGGAGCCUUUCUGUUCAAGGUUUUGUAAACUCUUCCUUGUUUUUUUCUCCUGCUUGUUUCUUUCAACUCCCACACGUUUUUGUGUUUUGUAUUUGCUUCGUUUGUCAUAAUCUUAAUCAGGUACAGUUUAUUUUAUAUCAUUUUAUGUUCUCUAUAAUGCAGCUUAGAAAUGCUGAAACAUUGUGAAACAUUCUGCCUUGGUAAAUAUAUAUGUAACCUUGUCCACCAUACUCCUAAUUUCCUGCAGCAACUCCCCAAGCUUACAUUUGUAAGGUGUUACAUUACACACAUUAGAUCCUGACAUUCAUUGCCCUGAUUGGAUGGAUUCUGUUAAGUUGCCUCUGACAGAAUUAGGUCCCCAUCGGAAAUUGAGUGGGGUAAGACCGGUUAAGAUGGAGGUAAAGCAAGAACUGUGGCAUUAAGUCCUUUAGCUGUGCUGAUGCAAGCUCCUACUGGAUCCUGGACUGUGUAAAUCCAGCAGCCUCUGCUCUCAUUUGAACACUUUCAUUUAUCCACUUUUAAGCACGUAGUGGGUAAUAAACAGAUAUUCUGAGGAAGGUUAUCGUUUUUCAUAAGUCAAAGUAUAUGAAGUAAAAUAGGUAUCUAAUAAAUGCAGUAGGAAAUUAUACUUUUUGUGUGUUUUGGCAACAUGAGCAACCACAGUAAGAGCUUUUGUGUUAUCUAUUUUACUGAUUUUAAUAGGUACCAUCAGUCCAGAAAAUCUUAUGAUGAUGACCAUAAAUUAAAUCUUUGAACUUGGAUGAAACAGCAAGAACAAUUUUUGAAAUAAUAUUCAAAGGGAAAACUCUAGAACAGGGAUUUCUGGUCUCCUCCAGCAUCUCACUCCCUCUCAAAAAAAAACCAAAUCCACAACUGUGACGUUCCAUUCAUACGUUUCACUGAUGUUGUGGGGUUUACCUGCUUUAGCUAUGUAGCGCCAUACAUCAUGCUUCAGUUGUCUUGUCAUUUGCAAUGCUAACACUACUGUCAGCUGUGACCUCAGUUCAUUUAGCCCUUUGUUUAAAAAAAAAAAAAAACUCUUGGAGUUUUGCAAACACUGUGGAAGUGGAGCAUCUUCAGAACCAAUCCAAGAAAAUACCAAGUUUAAAUAAUUAUGGUCAUAUUUGUGCCAAAUUUUUAGUUACUUUGCUUGGCCCGGUCUUCUUACCCCUGUAACUUUAAUUACUAAGAACCAAUCAAUUUGGUAAAGUUUGCUAAAUUAUCAAAAUUACUUUUUCUGGUUUAUUUUUUUAUUUUUUUUCAUUAUGUUGUGCCCCCCUGAAGCUCUCUGGUGACCCCCAGAGGGGGGCACGCCCCACACUUUGUAAAGCCCUGCUCUACAAUUUAUGAUUCUGCCUAACAAAUUGGUUCCCUCAUAUACUCCUGUUGUGGCAGACCUAUAAUUUUCACUCUUUAAAGCUGCAUAAAAAUAUUUUCUCUUGUGACUGUGGUGAAACCUAACCAUGGUUCUGUAUGGAGUACCUGCUGUUGGAGGAAAUACCCAAUUAGCUGCCAGCUGCUGAAUUAAGUUGGCUGCUGGAAGUUUAGUGGAACAUAGAACUGAAAGGGAAAGCAACACUAACAUUUCACAGGUCCCAUCUGCUACAAAUUCAUAUACCCUCGACAUGUUGGCAUAUCUGGUGCUCCAACAAGUUUGCAUUUCAAUGAAAGAGGCUGAUUGCUGAUACUGCAAGGUACUGGUGGCACCCAGGAACCUUCAAUCUACCACUGUCCGAGAUAGGAAUGCAAAAAUGUGAUAUGCUGAAGAUGUUCCCUGUGAAGUGAUUCCCUUUGGUUCAACAAGGUGCUGUCACAUCAGACAUGAUCAGGAGUUAUUCACCAAUCACAUCUGGCAGGUUCCUUCUGAUGACUCAACUAUCAUGUCGGGGACGUCUGUUUUGACGAUGCUGUGCUGAGAGUUGAAGUAGACCAUGGACAGAGGCCGGCGCUCGGUGGGG